AAUGAAUCUCUUUUCUUGAUAAGUUACCCGGUCUCAGGUGUUUUCUAUAACAAUGGGAAAUGGAUGGAUCCAGGUAUCCAUAGGGACUUUGAAAAGCCUGGAAAUCUAGAAACUCAUUGCAUUUGUAGGGCUGUGUGCAGCCCAGGACCAUACAAUGCACUCAGAAAAAAUGGAGAAGUCCUUAAACUCUCUCUCCUAGCUCAUCUUGAGGCUCUGAACCGCAGGAAGUAAAGGCUACACAGCAGAGCUGUAAAUAACCUGGCUGAAUAUUGAAGUAGAUGCUGCUCAGAGAUGGCCAAUGUGUGGGGGAAAUGAUGGAAGGUUGGCUGAGCAAGAUUUCAGAGAUCAUAGUCAAAGUGUUUCUGAAAGCUUCUCAGCUGCCAUUCUCUGUUGCUCAGCCAGAAGUUGCUGAAGUUCCUCUGUAGACAAUUCCUCCAAGUGUUCCUUCACCAGUUCCUCAACAUCACCACUGUCUAUCUGCAAGCCUAUGGAUGCUACUAUAGUGAAAAUGUCAUCAACCACUGGAUCAAAUGAAGGCUCAGGCUCCUCUACACAGCCUUCAGUCACUCUCCUAUAUAGUUUUAGGCCACACUUUCUUCCAGGCAGAUCUAAGUGUCCUUAGAGGGACACUGGCCCAGGAUUUCUCAAUUCACCCCAAACAGGAUAUACCAGUAUUUCAGUUGUAACUCAGGACUUUGGUCAUAAAUUAAAACUAAAAUUCUGGUCAGAACCCAAGUUGUUUGGCUGGCUGUAACUUGAGGGUCCACUGUUAAGGGAUAGAAAGGGCUGUGGUUGGCCCUUGUGCCUUUGCUACUUUUUGCCUGCCAUUAACUGUUUCCCCUUUGUGAUACCACCCUGCCUUGGAGCCAGCUGAUUGUAGACUGAAACCUCUACAAACUGUGAGCUAAAUAAACCUUUCCUUCCUUAACUUUGGGUGUCAGGUAUUUUGUCUCAGCAAUGAGAGAAAAGUAACUAAGACAGGCAGUGACAUGAUUUGAUGCUGAUGAUAUGUGCUAUGCGUAGUGCUUUAUUUAGGAUUUAGCUUGAAGUUAAAGCCAACAGGACUGGCCGUGGGAGGCAGGAGGAAAGAAAGAAUUUAAGUGUAACAGUUUAGAUCUGAAAUGUGCCCCCAACGCCUCAUGUGUGCAGAGGUGUGGCUUUUGGAAGGUGAUGGAUUAUGGUGACCAUAUAGCUGACAUGUUACUAGGAG
rnacentral:lncRNA from 1 species